rnacentral:rRNA from 5 species
AGAGUUUGAUCAUGGCUCAGAUUGAACGCUGGCGGCAGGCCUAACACAUGCAAGUCGAACGGUAACAGGAAGCAGCUUGCUGCUUCGCUGACGAGUGGCGGACGGGUGAGUAAUGUCUGGGAAACUGCCUGAUGGAGGGGGAUAACUACUGGAAACGGUAGCUAAUACCGCAUAAUGUCGCAAGACCAAAGAGGGGGACCUUCGGGCCUCUUACCAUCGGAUGUGCCCAGAUGGGAUUAGCUUGUUGGUGGGGUAACGGCUCACCAAGGCGACGAUCCCUAGCUGGUCUGAGAGGAUGACCAGCCACACUGGAACUGAGACACGGUCCAGACUCCUACGGGAGGCAGCAGUGGGGAAUAUUGCACAAUGGGCGCAAGCCUGAUGCAGCCAUGCCGCGUGUAUGAAGAAGGCCUUCGGGUUGUAAAGUACUUUCAGCGGGGAGGAAGGGAGUAAAGUUAAUACCUUUGCUCAUUGACGUUAUCCGCAGAAGAAGCACCGGCUAACUCCGUGCCAGCAGCCGCGGUAAUACGGAGGGUGCAAGCGUUAAUCGGAAUUACUGGGCGUAAAGCGCACGCAGGCGGUUUGUUAAGUCAGAUGUGAAAUCCCCGGGCUCAACCUGGGAACUGCAUCUGAUACUGGCAAGCUUGAGUCUCGUAGAGGGGGGUAGAAUUCCAGGUGUAGCGGUGAAAUGCGUAGAGAUCUGGAGGAAUACCGGUGGCGAAGGCGGCCCCCUGGACGAAGACUGACGCUCAGGUGCGAAAGCGUGGGGAGCAAACAGGAUUAGAUACCCUGGUAGUCCACGCCGUAAACGAUGUCGACUUGGAGGUUGUGCCCUUGAGGCAUGGCUUCCGGAGCUAACGCGUUAAGUCGACCGCCUGGGGAGUACGGCCGCAAGGUUAAAACUCAAAUGAAUUGACGGGGGCCCGCACAAGCGGUGGAGCAUGUGGUUUAAUUCGAUGCAACGCGAAGAACCUUACCUGGUCUUGACAUCCACGGAAGUUUUCAGAGAUGAGAAUGUGCCUUCGGGAACCGUGAGACAGGUGCUGCAUGGCUGUCGUCAGCUCGUGUUGUGAAAUGUUGGGUUAAGUCCCGCAACGAGCGCAACCCUUAUCCUUUGUUGCCAGCGGUCCGGCCGGGAACUCAAAGGAGACUGCCAGUGAUAAACUGGAGGAAGGUGGGGAUGACGUCAAGUCAUCAUGGCCCUUACGACCAGGGCUACACACGUGCUACAAUGGCGCAUACAAAGAGAAGCGACCUCGCGAGAGCAAGCGGACCUCAUAAAGUGCGUCGUAGUCCGGAUUGGAGUCUGCAACUCGACUCCAUGAAGUCGGAAUCGCUAGUAAUCGUGGAUCAGAAUGCCACGGUGAAUACGUUCCCGGGCCUUGUACACACCGCCCGUCACACCAUGGGAGUGGGUUGCAAAAGAAGUAGGUAGCUUAACCUUCGGGAGGGCGCUUACCACUUUGUGAUUCAUGACUGGGGUGAAGUCGUAACAAGGUAACCGUAGGGGAACCUGCGGUUG